GUGAAUCAUCGAAUCUUUGAACGCACAUUGCGCCCACUAGUAUUCUGGUGGGCAUGCCUGUUCGAGCGUCAUUUCAACCCUCAAGCUCUGCUUGGUGUUGGGGAUCGGCAUUCGCGCCUUCGGGUGCUGCCGUCCCCUAAAUCUAGUGGCGGUCUCGCUGCAGCUUACUCUGCGUAGUAGUUUUCUCCUCGCACUGAAAGCUCGGUGGUGAUCAUGCCGUAAAACCCCCAACUUCUGAAAGGUUGACCUCGAAUCAGGUAGGAAUACCCGCUGAACUUAAGCAUAUCAAUAAGCGGAGGA
rnacentral:misc_RNA from 1 species